GAUUUACAGGAUUAGAUACACUGGUAGUCCACGCUGUAAACGAUGAGUGCUAAGUGUUAGAGGGUUUCCGCCCUUUAGUGCUGAAGUUAACGCAUUAAGCACUCCGCUUGGGGAGUACGGUCGCAAGACUGAAACUCAAAGGAAUUGACGGGGGCCCGCACAAGUGGUGGAGCAUGUGGUUUAAUUCGAAGCAACGCGAAGAACCUUAGCAGGUCUUGACAUUCCCUGACAACCCUAGAGAUAGGGCUUUCCCUUCGGGGACAGAGUGACAGGUGGUGCAUGGUUGUCGUCAGCUCGUGUCGUGAGAUGUUGGGUUAAGUCCCGCAACGAGCGCAACCCUUUAUGUUAGUUGCCAGCAUUUAGUUGGGCACUAUAAGGUGACUGCCGGUGACAAACCGGAGGAAGGUGGGGAUGACGUCAAAUCAUCAUGCCCCUUAUGACUUGGGCUACACACGUGUUACAAUGGAUAGUACAAAGGGUUGCAAGACCGCGAGGUGGAGCUAAUCCCAUAAAACUAUUCUCAGUUCGGAUUGUAGGCUGCAACUCGCCUCCAUGAAGCCGGAAUCACUAGUAAUCGCGGAUCAGCAUGCCGCGGUGAAUAUGUUCCCGGGCCUUGUACACACCGCCCGUCACACCACGAGAGUUUGUAACACCUGAAGUCGGUGGGGUAACCUUUUAGGGGCCAGCCGCCUAAGGUGGGACGGAUGAUUGGGGUGCAGGGUAUCUAAUCCUGUU
rnacentral:rRNA from 2 species